rnacentral:rRNA from 1 species
GAUGAACGCUGGCGGCGUGCCUAAUACAUGCAAGUCGAGCGAACGGACGAGAAGCUUGCUUCUCUGAUGUUAGCGGCGGACGGGUGAGUAACACGUGGAUAACCUACCUAUAAGACUGGGAUAACUUCGGGAAACCGGAGCUAAUACCGGAUGAUAUUUUGAACCGCAUGGUUCAAAAGUGAAAGACGGUCUUGCUGUCACUUAUAGAUGGAUCCGCGCUGCAUUAGCUAGUUGGUAGGGUAACGGCUUACCAAGGCAACGAUGCAUAGCCGACCUGAGAGGGUGGUCGGCCACACUGGAACUGAGACACGGUCCAGACUCCUACGGGAGGCAGCAGUAGGGAAUCUUCCGCAAUGGGCGAAAGCCUGACGGAGCAACGCCGCGUGAGUGAUGAAGGUCUUCGGAUCGUAAAACUCUGUUAUUAGGGAAGAACAUAUGUGUAAGUAACUGUGCACAUCUUGACGGUACCUAAUCAGAAAGCCACGGCUAACUACGUG